rnacentral:tRNA from 1 species
UCCGUGGUGGCUUAGAUGGUAAAGUGUCUGCCUACAAUGUGGGAGACCCAGGUUCAAUCCCUGGGUUGGGAA